AAAUAAAAUAAGUAGAAAUAAACAUAUAAAACAAAUAAGAAAAUGGGUAAUAAAGCAACAAAACUCACUGCUGACAAGCAGUGGCUAGAAAAGAAAUGUCCAGGCGCCGGACAAAUUAGUGCAUAUAGAUGGAGAAAUCCAAAGAAAACUAAAUGCCCGACAUGGGAGGGAAAGUGUAGCCCCUCCGCUUUAACAAAACUAAAAGAAACCUUACAGGCAGAAAUAAAUACUGAAAAAGAUCCAAAAAAGAAAAUAAAACGGCUCUCAAGAGCUACAAUAUUUUAAAGCAUGGAAAGAGGAGAAAGGCAAUAAAAGAAGGAGAAAUGUAGGUUUUAAGGAAGAAAGAAGGGACAGGAAUGAUAGAGAUAACCGUUGUUAUAACUGCGGAAAAGAAGGGCAUUUUGCAAGAGAAUGCAGGAAUAGAAGUGAAGACCAGAGUAAGUGACUAGAACGGGAAGGGGAGGGAGAAACUGAAAUCUUCAAUAUAGAACAGUUACUCCUAGGAUCUGAGCAUAAGCCCACAGUAACCAUCCAUGUCAACGGUCAACCAAUGACCAUGCUUUGUGAUACUGGAGCAUGCAAAACAGUAUUAAACCAAAAGCCCAAAAGCUUAAAGUACUCAAGUGAUACCUUGAUAGUUAAAUCUGCAUCAGGGCACACCAGUGUGAAAUCAUUAACAGAAGGUUUAACAAUGAAACAUAGUUAGGAUGAAGACCAGAAUGAAUAGAAUGAAAGAAAAUACAUAACUCACACAAACACAUAUUAAAUGAAAUAGAGAGAUGUAUAAGGUAUAUUAAGGUUUUGUCAUUGUUCAGCCAAGGAAAGUGUGUGAAAAGGAAAAUGUCUCCAGCUUGGGAGGGGGUGAAACUGCAGAUCACCCCCAUCCCUCGAUGGAUGCAAAAUAAAAUAUAAAUAAAAUAUUGUAAUAUACUAUUGCUGUUAUAUAAAAAGAUAAUAACAUUAAUAAUAACAUAAUAUUAAUAUGAAGAGGCACCUCAGUCAGUUAUGAUGUGAGGUGGAAGAUUGUUAAAAGUAGUCUGAUUCAAGCUUAAGGUUUGCUCAAACUCAGUACAAUGAUAUAGGAGAUGAAGAAAAUAAGGAAAUAACUACACUAAUCAGGUGCAUAGAGACACCUGACCUGCUUGUAAAUCUGUCAUCUUAGAUGAGACUUUGUUAAGAUGAAGAGCAAACCUAUACUAACAACUAAUGAGCCAAACCCUGUAUACAACAGCUAAAGCUACAAGAUUGAGAAGCUGAAUUAAAUAUGUGGACACUACCAAGCUAAUGAGGAGCGGUGACGCGCAUGGAGAUGCUGGUUUUGCUCACUACAAUUGUAUAAAUAGAGUUUGAAUUCAUUACUGUGGAUGUACAGUGAGUGACCUCUAUAUAUCUUGAAAAGCAUGUCUGAAAUACUCGUAUGGAAGCAUAUUUUGAGUGAUUUUGACUGUGUGAAUGCUGUGAGUAGUAGGUUUUGAGUGAUUGGGUGUGAUUUGUACAAAAAUGAUAAAACAUAAGUAAUAAUAACACCACAAAGGUUCAUAGCGGAGUGAGUGAACGAGUAGAAGUUUGAGAGAAAAGGCAGUGUGUGUGAUGAUUCCUGAUGUCUGAAAGAGCUCAAUUUAAAAGUGUGUGUGAAAUAAAGGUGUAUCGUUUUUAGAUCAAGGGAUUUAGAUUGUUUUUAGUAGAAUUAAAGAGGGUUUUUAGACUAUAAAGAACCCUGCAAGAAUACAGGGUAUAAUUGGGUUGAAAUUGGAGGCUGAACUCAUGAUUGUUUAGAGAUGUCCGCCAUGUCAUAAACAAAAGAAGGCAAAAUAAUGACAGAAAUAAUUGACAACUAUAUUAAUGAAUAGACAACACAUACUCAAGUUGUUAUAUGUGAAAUUAUUUUUGGAAAGGGUCAGUGAGAUAGCUUGAAUUUAGAACUCAGUGAUAAGAUGCAUGAAUUAAACCUUAUUGUAAUAAAUACUUGCAAUGAAGAAAGCAGCUUACACUCAAUUAAUAUGAACGCAAAACCUUGAUGCCAUAGGCAAUUUGUUUUUUGUUUUUGUUUGUUUGUUUUGUUGGGUUGAAAAAUGAAUAAAUUUGUGAUCAUACUUGUGGAUCACAGUGACACAUAAUGAUUAGGCAUAUGAUUUACUAAUGGAGAUGUAAUAACUUUAUUCUAAAAUUCAAGGAGAACAAACAAGAACAACACCUUCAGUUGUGUAUUGUUGUUGUUCUCUGUGUAGUGUGCUGAGUUUUGUUUUUUGUUCCUUUUUUUUAAAUGUUGCUUGAGUGAUGAGCACUGUAACUUCUGAAGUAGCUCUCACCAUGCGUCCUUGAUGAUGAUAAGUCCAGAGCCAGCUGAGAGCUGGGUUGUCUGUUUUGUUUUAUGUGACAAGGCUGAAAAAUUAAAACUUAGUUUCUUGUUUUGAAAAAAAAAAAAAAGAGAGAGGUUUUGUGUUUCUCAGCCAAGAACAACUACAAUUUCAUUUUCUGUUUUGAGACAGGAUAAUAAUAACAAUAAUAAUAAUAAUGAUAAUAAAACAAAGAGUGGUGUUUUGCUUAAGUGUUGAAGCAGGCUAAUACUGCAACAUACCGUCUAGUGCAUGAUCUGCGAGCAAUAUAUGAAAUCAUCUUAUUUAUCUUUAAAUAAACUCCAAUUAUGGAGACCUGAAGUCACAUGCUUAGGGCACACCCUCAGGUGAAGGCAGAAAGCUACUAAACAAAGAAAAGAAGCCAUACAAAAUGCGCCACAGCCAAAAAACUAAGUAUUCACAUUCUUUCUGACUCUUUGUGAGCCUGAGUUAUGACCUUGGCUCCCUGUUUUUCUGCCUCCACCAAAGGUGGGGGUGACGCUCCCGUGGCUCUUUACUAUCACAAAAAAAAAAAAAAAAAAGUGAGGCCUCUGCUCUCUGAACACAAUACUCUUCUCAUAACUCAGCGGUAUGAAAUGUCAUGAAACAGUGUAACUCACUCACAGUAAAUCAGCAGUAUAGGAUACUACAAACCUAUCUAAUAAAUCUAAUGAUUUUCACAUUCUUUUAAUUAGAAGGUGUGAUGCAAACUGAAACUACAUCAUGAUUACACAAGAAGUAUGAUGUGGCCUACAGCAGUAUCAUGAUUCACUCAUUUUGAUUACAGGUAUAAUGUAAUAUAAUCUCACAACUGCUACGAGCACACUUGCCUUUCUUAACACACGCGAGUGAAAGGCAACUGUUAAGAAAAUGCCCUUUUGGGUGAGACAGGCCCAGAGGCCCUGCAUGCAAGCGUACUAACACACAUACAUGCAAUGAAGAGCAGCUUACACUAGAGCACACACUAUAUGUGCGCCUCUAUAUCUCACAUUGGUGUUAAAACAGGAAAAACUUAAUAGUUUUGUUAUCAACUGCUGAAUUUACCCACUACUGACAUUUAACUCUCCAGCUUGCAGGACAAUACGUGAAACGUUUGUGAAAACAGAGAAGGAAAAAUAAAGACACAGAGAGAGUCUGGUAUGACCAAGCAGUGAUCAGACAAUAAAUUUAGUUGGUAAUACAAUAAAUUGUGAGAUGCUUUCUCCUUGAUUGAUGCAACACAAGUAGUUUACUGUAUGGAGGAAAUUCUCUUUUGUGAUAAUCUUUGAACGUGCAUUUCUGUUGACCUGUCAAUUUAGCGCAUUAUAAGCUGAUAUGCAAAUUAGUUGAUUGAUAUUAGAUUUGAAAAAAUAACUGUAUUAUAAAAUAAGUGAAUAAGAUGUAACAACGGUUGAAAUUAGUUUUUUGUUUCUAGUGUGUGGAGAAGGUUUUAUCAUGGCACACAUCUGUUUACAUGGGAGGAAACUCCUCAUGUGAUGCGACAUUUAGCAAUUUGCAAGUGUGCAGCACAUCAGAAGAAUGACUAUGAAAUUACAAAGGGAAACAAUUUUACUGACAAAGGAUGAACAAAAAGCAGCUCCCACAGCUCAGCAAAAGAAAUGGCUGAAAUGCGGAGCGCAACUAAGAGAUGACUUGAUGAUUUGUGAAGGAAAACCAAUACUUCCAAAAUCUCUACACAAAACAGCAGCCUUAGUGACACAUGGAGUUACUCUCCAUGCGUCAACAGGAGGGAUAGGAGAUAUAAUCUCCAAAACACUUUUACACUCUAAAUUUCGAAAUUUCAGUAGCAAAAUGCUUAUGUAACCAUUUCAUUCCAACAUAUGGCAUCCCCACUCUAAUAAGAUCAGAUAAUGGGACACAUUUUGUCAACGAAGUAAUCAGCAAAGUCUCUGAAGCACUAGGGUUUAACAUCAAAUAUCACUGUGCUUAUCAUCCUCAAAGUGCCGGCCUAGUAGAAAGGACAAACGGCACAAUAAAACAGAGGCUUAGAAAAUGUAUGGAAGAAACAGGAAGGCCGUGGCCAGAGUGCAUAGGCCUAGUAAAAAUGUGGAUGAGAUUAACACAAGGUUCACAAAAACUUACGCCUUUUGAAAUCAUUCAUGGCAGACCAUUUCCACUGCCAAUCACAAGUGAACCUUUAGAUAAAUCAAUCCGAGAGACCACACUAGCAGAAUGGAUGUCGAAACUACUAGAAAACAAAGAUAUUGUUUUGAACAAUAAACUGCCUUCUGAAUCUUCUCCAGUAUCUUGCAGGUUGAAGCCAGGUGAUUGGGUCCUGAUUCGAGUUCUCCAGAGAAAGAAUUGGAGCUCGCCCCGCUGGGAAGGCCCAUACCAAGUGCUUAUCACCACACCAACUGCCUGUAAGAUAGCCGAAAGACCAUCUUGGAUUCACCAAAGCCACUGCAAGAAAGGACCACCCCGAUACGAGGUAAUCACCGUCGAAAACGCUGGACUUGACAACGGAACGUGUGACCGGCUCUUCUGGAUCAACUUCAAUGUGACGAAUCGGAACACGUCCAUUCACUUCCCAGUGUUCUUGGACCAAACCCCAGGGAAGAACCACUCCAUGUGCUACCGACAAGACAAAGGCAACAGACCCCUAGGCAACACCACCAACUGCAACCAAACCGCUGCCAGCGGAGAAGGCGCACCUGUAAACAUGUCUGCGCCCAGCAACGGUACCUACUGGGUGCAGGGAAUGGCCUGGCUGUGUGGACAACGUGCCUACUUCAUACUGCCACCCGGAUGGACGGGCACCUGUGCCCCAAUCUUCAUUUCAGACCACACCUUCAGGAUGUCAGCUGUAAAUAGCUCUCAGACUACAAGACGACGAUGAGACGUUUCCGCAGUGCAAC
ensembl:lncRNA